GGCGAGAUAGCUCAGGUGGUUAGAGCAUUGGAUUCAUAACCCAAAGGUCGGCAGUUCGAGUCUGCUUCUCGCUA
rnacentral:tRNA from 1 species